CAAGUGGAGAAGGAUUUCUUGCACCAUAUAGAGGUCAAAGACACCACUUGAAUGAUUGGAGAGAAGGACACCAACCUACCACCCCUCAAGAAUAUUUCAACAUGAAACAUUCUCAAGCUAGAAAUUGCAUUGAGAGAUGUUUUGGCAUAUUGAAAGCGAGAUGGGCAAUUUUAA